CACCUAAAAACCAUGCCUCGUCCUUCCUCUGUUUUCUGGCCAUGUUGAGAUGUCACGUGGCGAACUAGCUUCCAUAGUGGGCAUUUUGAACCAUGCAUGUAAACGGACAGGCUUUGUAACAAGGCAGCACUUCAUAGUCCUCUUUUGUAUACGCACUUCUUCUUUCCACAGAUUAGUAUGAUUAACAAUGUUGGUUUUGCUUAUUUGAUAAAUUAGCAAGAAGAACCAGGGACAAUUUAGAUGAUAUUCAUGUGUGUAUUGAAGAUACUUGUUAUGAAAUGUACACAAACAUUUCAUUCACAUGUAGUCUCUUAUGAAUGAGUCCAGAUUUUAAAAAUCCAAAUAAUAAAACUUCAGCUGCUUGAAAAAAUA